CAAGUCGGACGAAUCCCUCAGGGCUUGCUCUGAGGGGGAAGUGGCGAAAGGGGCAGUAAGGCGUGGGUAACCCACCCCGGGGACCGGCAUAGCCGUCCUAACGGACGGGUAAUUCCGGGCGAUCUGGCGGCGUCGCAUGGCGCUUCCAGGAAACGAGUUUCGCCUCGGGAGGGGCUCACGUGGUAUUAGCUUGUUGGCGGGGUAACGGCCCACCAAGGCCCAGAUGCCUAGCGGGUGUGCGAGCACGACCCGCGCCACUGGCACUGCGACACUGGCCAGACUCCUACGGGAGGCUGCAGUCGAGGAUCUUCGGCAAUGGGCGCAAGCCUGACCGAGCGACGCCGCGUGUGCGAUGAAGGCCUUCGGGUUGUAAAGCACUGUCGAGGGGGAGGAAGGCGCAAGCUUGACCUAUCCCUGGAGGAAGCACGGGCUAAGUUCGUGCCAGCAGCCGCGGUAAGACGAACCGUGCGAACGUUGUUCGGAAUCACUGGGCUUAAAGGGCGCGUAGGCGGGCACUCAAGUCUGCGGUGAAAGCCUCCCGCUUAACGGGAGAAGUGCCGCGGAUACUGGGUGCCUCGAGGGGUGUAGGGGCAUGCGGAACUUCCGGUGGAGCGGUGAAAUGCGUAGAGAUCGGAAGGAACGCCGGUGGCGAAAGCGGCGUGCUGGGCACCUUCUGACGCUGAGGCGCGAAAGCCAGGGGAGCGAACGGGAUUAGAUACCCCGGUAGUCCUGGCCCUAAACGAUGGGUACCGGGUUGUGGGCUUGACAUGGGUUCACAGCCGGAGCAAAAGUGUUCAGUACCCCGCCUGGGGAGUAUGGUCGCAAGGCUGAAACUCAAAGGAAUUGACGGGG
rnacentral:rRNA from 1 species